GGCGGGUUUCCCGAGUGGCCAAAGGGGACUGACUGUAAAUCAGCUGCGCAAUGCUUCAGGGGUUCGAAUCCCUUACCCGCCACCA
rnacentral:tRNA from 8 species